rnacentral:rRNA from 1 species
UACAGAGGUCUCAAGCGUUGUUCGGAUUCAUUGGGCGUAAAGGGUGCGUAGGUGGCGGGGUAAGUCAGGUGUGAAAUUUCGGAGCUUAACUCCGAAACUGCAUUUGAUACUGCCUUGCUUGAGGACUGGAGAGGAGACUGGAAUUCACGGUGUAGCAGUGAAAUGCGUAGAUAUCGUGAGGAAGACCAGUGGCGAAGGCGGGUCUCUGGGCAGUUCCUGACACUGAGGCACGAAGGCCAGGGGAGCAAACGGG